GACGAACGCUGGCGGCGUGCUUAACACAUGCAAGUCGAACGGAAAGGCCUCAGCUUGCUGGGGUACUCGAGUGGCGAACGGGUGAGUAACACGUGGGUGAUCUGCCUUGCACUCUGGGAUAAGCUUGGGAAACUGGGUCUAAUACCGGAUAUGAACUGCCUUUAGUGUGGUGGUUGGAAAGUUUUUUCGGUGCAAGAUGAGCUCGCGGCCUAUCAGCUUGUUGGUGGGGAAUGGCCUACCAAGGCGGCGACGGGUAGCCGGCCUGAGAGGGUGGACGGCCACAUUGGGACUGAGAUACGGCCCAGACUCCUACGGGAGGCAGCAGUGGGGAAUAUUGCACAAUGGGCGGAAGCCUGAUGCAGCGACGCCGCGUGGGGGAUGACGGCCUUCGGGUUGUAAACUCCUUUCGACAGGGACGAAGCUUUUUGUGGCGGUACCUGUAGAAGAAGCACCGGCUAACUACGUG
rnacentral:rRNA from 1 species